UCAAGGCUGAACUUGUACAAGUGGUUGGGGCUGCUUUGCCCAAACGAGAGACUUCAAAAGGAAGUUCUCCCUGGCAUUCUUAUUUGAUGGCAUACCUGGGAGUGAUACCAGGUCUUACUUCCUGAUGUCCCAGCAGAAUAAGGAAUGACAAAGAGUGCUGACAUCUACCAUAGUGUGAGAUCUUGCUGCACCCAGGACAGAGGAGACCGUGAACAGCAAAAUACGGAGCCUCCUCAUGAACUACAGAUGAGAACUGCCUAGAUGCAGAGCAAUCCUACCAUACACCUAGAGCUUUAGAUGCCAUCAGUCACCACAUUGCACUGUAGAACUGUGGCAGGAAGAUCAUGACCGGCUGGAGAAACUUAUUCCAGUGAAACAAAGAGUCUGAAUUCUGAACUUCUCUAACUUGCCUGAGCUGGCCUUGAACCUCUGCUAUAGCCCAG